ACGCUAGCUACAGGCUUAACACAUGCAAGUCGAGGGGCAUCAGGAAGAAAGCUUGCUUUCUUUGCUGGCGACCGGCGCACGGGUGAGUAACACGUAUCCAACCUGCCCUUUACUCGGGGAUAGCCUUUCGAAAGAAAGAUUAAUACCCGAUGGCAUAAUGAUUCCGCAUGGUUUCAUUAUUAAAGGAUUCCGGUAAAGGAUGGGGAUGCGUUCCAUUAGGUUGUUGGUGAGGUAACGGCUCACCAAGCCUUCGAUGGAUAGGGGUUCUGAGAGGAAGGUCCCCCACAUUGGAACUGAGACACGGUCCAAACUCCUACGGGAGGCAGCAGUGAGGAAUAUUGGUCAAUGGGCGCUAGCCUGAACCAGCCAAGUAGCGUGAAGGAUGAAGGCUCUAUGGGUCGUAAACUUCUUUUAUAUAAGAAUAAAGUGCAGUAUGUAUACUGUUUUGUAUGUAUUAUAUGAAUAAGGAUCGGCUAACUCCGUGCCAGCAGCCGCGGUAAUACGGAGGAUCCGAGCGUUAUCCGGAUUUAUUGGGUUUAAAGGGAGCGUAGGUGGACUGGUAAGUCAGUUGUGAAAGUUUGCGGCUCAACCGUAAAAUUGCAGUUGAUACUGUCAGUCUUGAGUACAGUAGAGGUGGGCGGAAUUCGUGGUGUAGCGGUGAAAUGCUUAGAUAUCACGAAGAACUCCGAUUGCGAAGGCAGCUCACUGGACUGCAACUGACACUGAUGCUCGAAAGUGUGGGUAUCAAACAGGAUUAGAUACCCUGGUAGUCCACACAGUAAACGGUGAAUACUCGCUGUUUGCGAUAUACAGUAAGCGGCCAAGCGAAAGCAUUAAGUAUUCCACCUGGGGAGUACGCCGGCAACGGUGAAACUCAAAGGAAUUGACGGGGGCCCGCACAAGCGGAGGAACAUGUGGUUUAAUUCGAUGAUACGCGAGGAACCUUACCCGGGCUUAAAUUGCAGUGGAAUGAUGUGGAAACAUGUCAGUGAGCAAUCACCGCUGUGAAGGUGCUGCAUGGUUGUCGUCAGCUCGUGCCGUGAGGUGUCGGCUUAAGUGCCAUAACGAGCGCAACCCUUAUCUUUAGUUACUAACAGGUUAUGCUGAGGACUCUAGAGAGACUGCCGUCGUAAGAUGUGAGGAAGGUGGGGAUGACGUCAAAUCAGCACGGCCCUUACGUCCGGGGCUACACACGUGUUACAAUGGGGGGUACAGAAGGCAGCUAGCGGGUGACCGUAUGCUAAUCCCAAAAGCCUCUCUCAGUUCGGAUCGAAGUCUGCAACCCGACUUCGUGAAGCUGGAUUCGCUAGUAAUCGCGCAUCAGCCACGGCGCGGUGAAUACGUUCCCGGGCCUUGUACACACCGCCCGUCAAGCCAUGGGAGCCGGGGGUACAUGAAGUACGUAACCGCAAGGAUCGUCCUAGGGUAAAACUGG
rnacentral:rRNA from 1 species